GGCACUACAAGUCCCAGCAGCCCCAGCGUUAUAUAAGGAAGUAGUGAAGUUUGUUUGCUCUUUCGCUUCCGCUUUUGAUUUCGGGGAUGUCGUGGCGGAUUUAGAAGUUGAAAAGAAUGAUAUAGCACUUCAAAAGAAUGGCAGCAGAUAAGCAGUUACGUUAAAUAAUGCCGGAGCUUCGUCGUGAACUGAACAUAUGAUGCACCGAUUAAGGAGUGUUGUGGCUGGAUUAUUGCCUGACUGAUGGUUGCCUGACUGUCCCUGUCAGGGAAUAGGCUG